rnacentral:rRNA from 1 species
CAGCAGCCACGGGAAUACGUAGGUGGCGAGCGUUGUCCGGAUUUAUUGGGCGUAAAGGGAGUGUAGGCGGUCUUUUAAGUCUGAUGUGAAAGCCCACGGCUCAACCGUGGAGGGUCAUCGGAAACUGGGAGACUUGAGUGCAGAAGAGGAGAGCGGAAUUCCAUGUGUAGCGGUGAAAUGCGUAGAUAUAUGGAGGAACACCAGUGGCGAAGGCGACUCUCUGGUCUGUAACUGACGCUGAGGAGCGAAAGCGUGGGGAGCGAACAGGAUUAGAUACCCCAGUAGUCCCUGUCUUUAUACA